UUAAUAGAUACCCCGUAGUCUAGCAGUAAACGGUGCACGUUUGGUGUGGGCGGGUUACAGACCCCGUCCGUGACCGGGAGCUAACGCGUUAAACGUGCCGCCUGGGAAGUACGGUCACAAGAUUAAAACUCAAAGAAAUUGACGGGGGCCCGCACAAGCGGUGGAGUAUGUGGCUUAAUUCGAUGCAACGCGAAGAACCUUACCUGGCCUUGACAUGCAUCUCUAAGUUAGUGAAAGCUAGCGAGUUGGCAGCAAUGUCAACAAUUUGCACAGGUGCUGCAUGGCUGUCGUCAGCUCGUGUCGUGAGAUGUUGGGUUAAGUCCCGCAACGAGCGCAACCCUGUGUCCUGUUGCCCGCAAGGGAUCUCUGGACAGACUGCCCUGUGAAACGGGGAGGAAGGUGGGGAUGACGUCAAGUCAGUAUGGCCCUUACGGCCAGGGCUGCACACGUACUACAAUGCCCAGAACAGAAUGAACCAAAACCGCGAGGUGGAGGAAAUCGAUAAUCUGGGCUCAGUUCGGAUCGGAGG
rnacentral:rRNA from 1 species